UACAGAGGUCUCGAGCGUUAGGCGGAAUCACUGGGCUUAAAGCGUGUGUAGGUGGAUCGUUAAGUACCUUGUGAAAUCCCACGGCUUAACCGUGGAACUGCUUGGUAUACUGGCUGUCUUGAGCCACUUAGGGGCUACCGGAACAAAUGGUGGAGCGGUGAAAUGCGUAGAUAUCAUUUGGAACGCCAAUGGUGAAAACAGGUAGCUGGGAGUGUGCUGACACUGAGACACGAAAGCCAGGGGAGCAAACGGG
rnacentral:rRNA from 1 species